rnacentral:rRNA from 1 species
CAGCCGCCGCGGUAAUACGAAGGGUGCAAGCGUUACUCGGAAUUACUGGGCGUAAAGCGUGCGUAGGUGGUGGUUUAAGUCCGUUGUGAAAGCCCUGGGCUCAACCUGGGAAUUGCAGUGGAUACUGGGUCACUAGAGUGUGGUAGAGGAUAGUGGAAUUUCCGGUGUAGCAGUGAAAUGCGUAGAGAUCGGAAGGAACAUCUGUGGCGAAGGCGACUAUCUGGGCCAACACUGACACUGAGGCACGAAAGCGUGGGGAGCAAACAGGAUUAGAUACCCGUUAGUCCCUGUCUCUUAUACA